UGGUGGGUUGCCUUGUCAGGUUGAUUCCGGUAACGAACGAGACCUCAGCCUGCUAAAUAGUCACAGCUACUUUUGUAGCUGCCCGACUUCUUAGAGGGACUAUUGUCGUUUAGGCAAUGGAAGUGUGAGGCAAUAACA
rnacentral:rRNA from 1 species